rnacentral:rRNA from 1 species
AUGAACGCUGGCGGCGUGCCUAAUACAUGCAAGUCGAGCGAACAGACGAGGAACUUGCUCCUCUGACGUUAGCGGCGGACGGGUGAGUAACACGUGGAUAACCUACCUAUAAGACUGGGAUAACUUCGGGAAACCGGAGCUAAUACCGGAUAAUAUAUUGAACCGCAUGGUUCAAUAGUGAAAGACGGUUUUGCUGUCACUUAUAGAUGGAUCCGCGCCGCAUUAGCUAGUUGGUAAGGUAACGGCUUACCAAGGCAACGAUGCGUAGCCGACCUGAGAGGGUGAUCGGCCACACUGGAACUGAGACACGGUCCAGACUCCUACGGGAGGCAGCAGUAGGGAAUCUUCCGCAAUGGGCGAAAGCCUGACGGAGCAACGCCGCGUGAGUGAUGAAGGUCUUCGGAUCGUAAAACUCUGUUAUUAGGGAAGAACAAAUGUGUAAGUAACUAUGCACGUCUUGACGGUACCUAAUCAGAAAGCCACGGCUAACUACGUG